UACAGAGGGUGCGAGCGUUAAUCGGAAUUACUGGGCGUAAAGCGCGCGUAGGCGGCUUUGCAAGUCGGGUGUGAAAUCCCCAGGCUUAACCUGGGAACUGCAUUCGAGACUGCAUUGCUAGAGUAUGGGAGAGGGAAGUGGAAUUUCCGGUGUAGCGGUGAAAUGCGUAGAUAUUGGGAGGAACACCAGUGGCGAAGGCGGCUCACUGGACCGGUACUGACGCUGAGGUGCGAAAGCGUGGGGAGCAAACAGG
rnacentral:rRNA from 1 species